rnacentral:rRNA from 1 species
GUCGGGAAUUUUGCUCAAUGGGCGCAAGCCUGAAGCAGCAACGCCGCGUGAGGGAUGAAGGCCUUCGGGUUGUAAACCUCUUUUCUCAGGGACGAUGAUGACGGUACCUGAGGAAUAAGCCACGGCUAACUACGUGCCAGCAGCCGCGGUAAUACGUAGGUGGCGAGCGUUGUCCGGAUUUACUGGGCGUAAAGAGCGCGCAGGCGGUCGGAUUAGUCGAGUGUGAAAGCCCCCGGCUCAACUGGGGAGGGUCACUCGAUACUGUUCGACUUGAAGACGGGAGAGGGACGCGGAAUUCCCGGUGUAGUGGUGAAAUGCGUAGAUAUCGGGAGGAACACCAGUGGCGAAGGCGGCGUUCUGGCCCGCUCUUGACGCUGAGGCGCGAAAGCCAGGGGAGCAAACGGGAUUAGAUACCCGAGUAGUCC